UGGUUCUGGCAUCGAUGAAGAACGCAGCGAAAUGCGAUAAGUAAUGUGAAUUGCAGAAUUCAGUGAAUCAUCGAAUCUUUGAACGCACAUUGCGCCCAUUAGUAUUCUAGUGGGCAUGCCUGUUCGAGCGUCAUUUCAACCCUCAAGCCUCGUCGCUUGGUGAUGGGAGCCUACUGGCACUGCCUGUAGCUCCUCAAAGUUAGUGGCGGAGUUCGUUCCAACUCUAGGCGUAGUAACUAUAUCUCGCCUCUGUAGUGGUCCGAUCCCCUGCCGUAAAACACCCCAAAUCAAAGGUUGACCUCGGAUCAGGUAGGAAUACCCGCUGA
rnacentral:misc_RNA from 1 species